UACAGAGGGUGCGAGCGUUAAUCGGAAUUACUGGGCGUAAAGCGCGCGUAGGCGGCUUUUCAAGUCGAUUGUGAAAUCCCCCGGCUUAACCUGGGAACUGCGUCUGAUACUGGAAGGCUUGAGUGCGGGAGAGGGAUGUGGAAUUCCAGGUGUAGCGGUGAAAUGCGUAGAUAUCUGGAGGAACACCGGUGGCGAAGGCGGCAUCCUGGACCGACGACUGACGCUGAGGCGCGAAAGCUAGGGUAGCAAACGGGGAUUAAGAA
rnacentral:rRNA from 1 species